GACGAACGCUGGCGGCGUGCUUAACACAUGCAAGUCGAACGGUGAAAGAGGGAGCUUGCUCCCUCCGGAUCAGUGGCGAACGGGUGAGUAACACGUGAGCAAUCUGCCCCGAACUCUGGGAUAAGCGUUGGAAACGGCGGCUAAUACCGGAUACGACUCGGGAGGGCAUCCUCUCCGCGUGGAAAGACCUGCGGUUCGGGAUAAGUGCGCGGCCUAUCAGCUUGUUGGUGAUGUAACGGCUCACCAAGGCGACGGCUGGUAGCCGGCCUGAGAGGGUGGCCGGCCACCCUGGGACUGCGACACGGACCAGAAGCCAACGUGAGGCAACAGUGGGGAAUAUUGCACAAUGGGCGCAAGCCUGAUGCAGAAACCCCGCGUGCGGGAAGACGGCCUUCGGGUUGUAAACCUCUUUUAGCAGGGAAGAAGCGAACGUGACGGUACCUGCACAAAAAGCCCCGGCUAACUACGUG
rnacentral:rRNA from 1 species